AUGCAGCAGCUUCAUGGUUUAGUCGGCUUCAUUUCAGAGGGACAGAUGUUCAUAGAGGAGAGGAAUUGGAUUCUCUGGACUUUACCUGUGAAGCAGCAGCAGAGGAGAGUCCAGAUGAGGACGCAGAUCAAAAGUCAGAGAGCCGUGUCUCUACAGUCAGAGGUUUUUGUACGACGGUUCAACCAGUUUGUAUCACUGUGGUACACGUUCGGUGGAGGAACCAGACUGGAUGUUGGACGUGAUACCCGCCCCACCCUGACAGUGCUGCCCCCCUCCAUUGUGGAGCUGCAGCAGCAGCAGGUUACCCUCCUGUGUCUGGCCAACAAGGGCUUCCCCUCAGACUGGACUCUGUCCUGGAAGCUGGACGGCAGCAGCAGCAGCAGCAGCAGCUGGGAGCAGAGCAGGAGCUCCGGGGUGCUGCAGAAUGACGGCCUCUACAGCUGGAGCAGCACCUUGAGGCUCCCUGCAGACCAGUGGAGGAAGGUGGGCUCUGUGACCUGUGAGGCCUCCCAGGGCUCCCAGUCUGCAGUCACAGAGACACUGAGGAGAGACCAGUGUUCCCAGUCCUGAGCUGAUUCAUGGGUUUUCUAAGCUUUUAUUCUGCUAUAUAUCACUUGCUUUAAAAAUCUCUGCAUUAUUUCAUCUUCAUAACCUCUGUUAUGUGUUUAAAACUCAAUUUCUGUCAAAAACAAUAAAAAUAAAAUCCUUACUCUU